AGGCACAGAUUAAGAUCAAGACAACGAGCAGACAUGUGGUUAUUGGGAGACCGUGGAUAUCCUUGCACCCCCUGGCUCAUGACUCCUUACCGUAAUCCCAGGCCAGGACCACAGACGGAAUUUAACUCCGCGCUUACUGCCACUAGACAGCUGGUGGAGCGCACAAUUGGGGUCCUUAAAGGCCGUUUUCGUGUGCUCCACCGCACUGGUGGCGACAUCAUGUAUUCGCCGGAGAUGGCAAGUAAAAUAGUGGUCCUGUGCGCUAUACUACAUAACAUCGCGGUAAGGAGUAGCGUAGAGCUUCCUCAGACAGAGGAAUUGCCAGAUGAGGAGCCAGGGGUUGUCCGUCGAUUCGGUGGGGGGAGUGUUUCACGGAGGGGAAGCCAAGUCAGGGCAAGCAUUGUUGAAGAAUAUUUCAGCUGAAUUAUCACACAAAAUGUGGACGACCACAACGGCAAGCUGAUGCAGGGAGGCAACAUCAGGCCCCUUCUCAGCCCCCCUCCCCUUCUCACUCCCCCUCCCCUUCUCACUCCCCCUCCCCUUCUCACUCCCCCUCCC